UUUUAUUUAGUAUUAAAACUCUAAGACAGCUGGUUCCUCUGGGAGCGGAGACGGCAAAUGGCGGACUUUGAUACCUACGACGAUCGAGCCUACAGCAGCUUCGGCGGUGGCAGAGGGUCCUGCAGCAGUGCUGGUGGCCAUGGCUCCUGUAGCCAGAAGGAGCUGCACACAGAACCCCCCUACACAGCGUAUGUAGGAAAUCUACCUUUUAAUACGGUUCAGGGUGACAUAGAUGCUAUCUUUAAGGAUCUCAGCAUAAGGAGUGUACGGCUAAUUCGAGACAAAGACACAGACAAAUUUAAAGGAUUCUGCUAUGUAGAAUUUGAUGAGGUGGAUUCCCUUAAGGAAGCUUUGACAUACGAUGGUGCACUGUUGGGUGAUCGGUCACUUCAUGUGGACAUUGCAGAAUGCAGAAAACAAGAUAAAGGUGGCUUUGGAUUCAGAAAAGGUGGACCAGAUGACAGAGGCUUCAGGGAUGACUUCUUAGGAGGCAGGGGAGGAAGUCGCCCAAGUGACCGGCAAACAGGCCCUCCAAUGGGCAGUCGUUUCAGAGAUGGCCCUCCUCUUCAUGGAUCCAACAUGGAUUUCUGAGAACCAACAGAAGAGGAAAGAGCUCAGAGACCACUACUCCAGCUUAAACCUCAAACAGUUGCAACGCCUCUUAAUCAAGUAGCCAAUCCCAACUCUGCCAUCUUCCGGGGAGCCAGGCCCAGAGAGGAAGUCGUUCACAAGGAGCAAGAAUGAGCCUGCAGCUGGGAGGGAAUAGGUUGUGGGGGGUUAG